UACGGAGGGUGCGAGCGUUGUCCGGAAUCAUUGGGCGUAAAGAGCGUGUAGGCGGCCCGGUAAGUCCGCUGUGAAAGUCGGGGGGUCAACCCUCGGAUGCCGGUGGAUACUGUCGGGCUCGAGUACGGAAGAGGCGAGUGGAAUUCCUGGUGUAGCGGUGAAAUGCGCAGAUAUCAGGAGGAACACCAAUUGCGAAGGCAGCUCGCUGGGACGUUACUGACGCUGAGACGCGAAAGCGUGGGGAGCAAACAGG
rnacentral:rRNA from 1 species